ensembl:lncRNA
AGUGGGAGAAUGGGUUGGGAGGAGUUUGAUGAGAUGAGUACUGUUGGCUGAAUCCCAGAAAGAGUUUCAGGAGCACAGAAGCAGGACUCCAAACCCGAUCUGGGAUUCCCUAGAUACAGUAACAUUUAAAUGACCUCUUGAAGAAUGAAUCAAAGGUAGCCAGGAAAUGAGCAAGAGAAGUUUUCGGGUAGAGGAAAAGGUGCAAAGGCCUAAGACAAGAGGCAUCUAUGGGAAACUUGUAGAAACUGUCACCAGAUCUCAAGAGAUUGGAAAUGACUUCCUCUUGACAGCUGUUCACACACACUAAUUUUUGGUCACCCUGGUCCGAAGGAAAUCUCGCAGUUAAAAAGACCAAGUCUCCUUUAUUUGCCCAGAGAGCACCUGGAAAGAUGCCUAAUUAGAGGAAGCCAGCUCACUGUAUAUCUGAGGACCUGGACCUCAGCACUCGCCUUGGCUCACCUCUGAGCUGAAGGCCAGUCCACGACACCACAGCUCCACUCCAUGUUAAUGACACUGAGUGCAGUCAGGCUUUAUUAAAGGUUCAAAAUGUAUAGGCUUAAAGUGGAGCUUGGAUAAAA